AGGUGGCUGACAUCAUGCAAACUGGUUACAGUUACAACUGAAAUUAGAAUACUAAGCUUUCCCAAAUGUUGUAAAUGAGCUUUUCUGGAAGUAGAUGCUGGGACAACACUAGCUGUGCUUGGGGAGUAAGGGCCUGCUCACUUCCUUGGACAGUGAGUUCUCUCUACCACAUCCCCUUCAGGUCAGCUGAGGCUUGGUUAAGUUGUAUCAUGGUCAAAUUCUCUUCUACAAGCCCUGCUUCUUCUUUUCCCAUAAGCAUUGAUUCCCAAUAAACAUCUGUACCCCAGAUUCCUUCUCCUCUGUCUUCUCCACAGCUGAAAGCAAGCUCCCUGUUUCCUGCCACUGCCUUAGUGCCAUCCCUAUACACUAAAUAAAAGCCUAAAGCAGCACUGUCGAAGUCUGGGAUCAGAGGGCAGGGUGAGAGGAAAGGCAGGCCAUCUGCGAGCAGGCACCCUGCGCCGCUCAUGGUCUCUGAACAGAUCAUUUGGCCGAGAGAUCUGCAUCUUCAGGGCUGAAUCAAUCUUGGAGAGGGAGAACUAGAAGAUACAAGUCUAUUGCUGGAGACACCACACACCCUGGCUGCAAAAUAUAGAGAAAACCAGUGGGAACUGAGCAGGAAGUUUCCUUCCUGCUAUCUAGAUCUCAUGGUGCCAGAAGAUGCUAUACAGACUGGCUGCAGGGGAAGGUUUUGGUGAACACUAUUCAAAUCUUUACUUCCUGGAGAUCAGCAUUUUCGCUCCCAAGUUUAAAUGAGAACAGAUAAGUUGCCUGCGGGUGGCCUAGUGCAUGAGUAAAUAAAACUCCUUCAUGGAACCUGGCCCAUCACCACAAACCUAUUUUUGGCUGGCUCUGUGACAGAGAAUGGAGAGG